CAUGUUCUGAGCCCGUAACACGUGCCAGGCUCUGUCCUCAACCGUUCCGUGGGCCACCUCACUUAGUCCUCACCACCGCCCUGCGAGGCAGAGACCGUUGUCACCUCUACUGUGCAGAUGAGGAAACUGAGGCUCAGAGAGGUGAUGUAACUUCCUGAGGCCACAGGGAACCCCUACCUUUCAUGUUAUGUCAAUAAACAUCUGUGCGAUAGGCGGCUUGUGACAUGGCCCCAACAUAUCCACCUUUGGCCUUCCCCAAACGCCUGGGCCUGCGAUUCACAAGAAAUUGCUCAGCCAAAUUGAAACUUGACCCUCCUAACUCAGUCCCGUUCGGAUCAGCGACAAGUGCCACCACUGACGCCUGGAGUCCCAGCUCCCCUGAAGCACAGAUCCCCGUGUCCCUCCUGCACAGGGUCAGGGAAAGAGCAGGGACUCGGGUCAGCCGGGCCUGGGCUCACACCUGCCACCAAUGAGUCGAGUGACCUGGGACAAGGCAGUUCAUCCCUCGGGGCCCCAAACUCCGCACCUGGGGGACAGAGCGAGGGAUGAUGGAGUCCAGCAUGUGCACGGCCCUGCACACAGUAGGUGCUCAGCAAAUGUCAGCACCCCCCCCCCCCCCGCAAAGGCGGGCAAACUGUAAGCUGCAUCCAGUCAGAGCUUUUGAGUGAAUCCUCUAUCCAGCAAGCAGCCUCACCCCUCCCUCCGAGCCCCCAGCCCGGCCUCCAGCCACCACUGCCCCCCUGCUCCCGGCAUAAUUUGUGCACGUUCUGUGGGGUCGCUCCAUUAUUACACAGAAUGAAUCUUUCAGGAUGUUUAAAUUCCGAUCUUUUUUCCUAAUUCACCCACUCCCGAAGAGAAAUGGCCGCGUUUGGCAAAGGUCGCGCGUAAAACACAGAAGGGGGGACAGGAAGCGGAGGCGAGGACCGGAUUAAGGAGCAGGUACCAUCCAUUAGGGGGAUCACGGCGCUGUCCUCCCUGGGAGCACGUGCUCUUCCGGGGCCGCGAAGCCGAGCUGCAGCUCCGAGCAGGAGCGCUUCUUCCAGCAGUGACGUGAGUUCAGUGCAUUGAGCACCCGCUUCAGGGUCCCCCCUCCCCGACACCCACACGUCAGCCCCGCACGAGAGCGUCCUCAUCCCUGCUGCUGGGACACAGUCACUGGGAAGCGAGGGUCCCGCCCAAGUCUGCACGUGGCAGUGAGAGGUGGCACCAGGAUCCAACCCAGGCUGCUGGCUCCCAGGCCCCUGCUCCCGUCCCCACUCCCCUGCUCCCUGGGAAAGCGGGGCAGGGGCGGGGGCGGGGACUCAGUUACAGCAGGAGAGGCGAGCAGAGGAAUCAGCCCAAUCCAGGCGGACACCCACCGGGGUUUGGGUUCGGCCUUGGCUCCAGAGGCCUUAUGUACCGGCCGUAAAACAAAACCGAAACAAAACCCGUUGAGAAACGAGUGCGGCCAAGUGGGUGUUUGGAAGCGGGAGCCCCGGGAGCACAGUGACAGCAAGGGGUUCUGCAAGGAGCCACGUCGGUGCCCCCAGCAGCGCCCACCAGCCCGGGACCGGCCCCCCGACCCUCUUCUGCUGCUGCGUCCUGGCCAGGGGACGACUCAAGGGGACAGACUGAGUCCGUGUUCAUCCCCCUCCGCACCUCCUUGCCUUCACCCGUGCUCUGUGCUCUGACGCCGUGAAACCAGCGCCCCGAAUCCUUCUGACUUGCUCCAAUGUUCUGGUGCUGGACUUCAUCCCCAGAUGGUUCCGCGCGGCGAGGGCCGGGUGCCGGCUGCGAGCGGAGCCUGUCUUUUCUGGUGAUUGUUCCUGACACGCUUUAGUUUGCCCGACUUCCCUGCCCCGCCUGGCCGAUGGGGUCCCAGGCGGCCGGCAGCUGCCCUCUGUCCCCAGGCCGUGCCUGCAGCUUCACCCCACAGGAACCCCCCAACACCACAAGAACACCACGGGCCGCUCCCCGAAUCCUCCUGACACGCUCACGGCUCCAGAUUUUGCACAAGCUGCUUCCUUUACCGGGAGUCCUUUCCACGUCUUCUCCAUCUGGAGAAAUCCCGCGCAUCCCCCAAGGCCAAAGCACUGAGGGAGGGAGGGAGGGAGGGACCUCACCCAUUCGGCCCGCCGGCCACGCGCCCAGGGCCAUGCGGUGGGAAGGGGGGCACUACUCACAGUGAGUCCCCCUGCAGCCCGGGCGCCAACCACAGAGUGCGCCUCACUAGCCCAUUUUACAGACGGGGAAACACUGAGUUACUUAUUCAACGUCCCCCAGUGGUCGGCAACUCGGACCAAGUCGGCCGACACACAGACCAGCCCUGUCCACGCACCCCUGGCUCUGGGAGCCAUCCUGACCCCUGAGAGGGGGCUCCUCUCCUCCUUCUCUCCGGCACCGGGCAUCAUCGAGCGCUCGAAUUCUCCUUCCAUCUCCGUGGUUCUCAGGCUCUUUCCCUCCCUGCCUUGGUGAAAUGAGGUGGGUUGAGCGUCCCCGUGGCCCGGUGCCAGGCUCCGCCCUGGAGGAAGACACCCCUCAGCCCGAGGGCCGAUCCCAUCCCUGUGGCCAGGAGAAACAGCUUGCGCGAUGAUGUCAGGUUCACCAGUUUCCAUAUUUAGCUCCUGGUUGGGGGCGGGAUGGCAGGGAAGUGGGAGGCAAGAAGUGUGCAGGGUGGUGGGCGGGUCACGUGGGGGUACAUUUAGGCUCAGUAUCAGCAGAGGUGCUCAAAAAUCUCCCGGCAGAUUCCUCUGCCAGGUGGUGAGCUCCCCGUCCCUACAAGGGUUCAAGUUAUUGCAGGGCAGUGAAGGGAGAGCGUCCCGUGUAAGGAAGGGGGGAGUUACACCAGCAUGGCUCUCUGGGCUAAGAUUCUGAUCUCAGGCUGUCCGUUUCUACUCCACGUGUCCCCCAGUGGUCGGGGGAGGGGGGACGUUGGGGGAGGGGGGUUCCAGAUCUUCUCCAGAGAUUCCUUCAUUCUCGGACCGUCAGGCCUGUGAGUCCACGGCUGAUUCUGUGAUUCUAGAAUUCUAGGAUUCUGUGAAAGGGACCAGAUGCUCACAUUCUGUGAUUCAAAGGUUUUCUGAAAGCGCCUUGGAGUCUAUGAAAGACGCUGUGAUUCCCACUCCUGUGCGUCACAAGUGCCGUGAAAGGACUGGCGGAUGUGAAAAUGGAAGAAGGUUCCGUGACCCUCGCCCGCCCGCGUCCGCGUCUGCAGAGGGAGGACCCUGGGCCCCUGACCCGCAAGGUCCUCUCCGCGCUCAGUGUGGGUCUCCGGGGGCCCCUGACCCCACGCGCCCCGUCUCCUCACCUGACUCUCCGCCCCCCCCCAGGUCCCCUCAUGCCGAGAGGGUACAAUGGGUCCUGAAGCCCCAGGUGACAGAGCCGGUGGGGCCAACACCUGGGCGGACGUGCUCACAGACGCACACAUCUCUGUUCUCGAGUCAUUUUCCUGCUGGGUUGAUUAUGAGGCGCGUGGUGGGGACGCAGCCUUUGCUAAGUGGAAUUUUCUGGUGCAUCUCCUUCAGUACAAGCCGCUUGGGGAUGGGAAUCAGGAGCCUGCUUACGUUUCAGUCCUGUUUGUUUUUCCUGUCACCCUGCCCCACUGUGGAGGUCUCUCCCCGUUCACUGUUCAUCUGGGGGGGCUCUCCGUGGGCUCUGAGCAGUGGCCGCCCUGAAGGUUCAGCUGGGUUUCUCGGGAAAGGAACAGGAUCCAGGGAGGGAAGAAAUGGAGACCAGGCAGGUGGGGCUGGAAUCCUGGAGGAGGCCGGAUAAUGGUCCGUCCUCCAGGAUGGCCCAGGGGCCCCUCCUCACCCACCAGGAAGCCUGGGGUCUCUGGGCACCUGCAGCAGAGGGACCCCAGAGCUCAGAGCCCAGUAGACUUGGCCGUGGGGUUUGGGACAGUCCCUUCCCUGAGUCCCAGGAGCCUCCCUGGAAAUAUCCUGAGCUGGUGGGGAGCCUCUGUAGCCCUGAGACACUGAUUUGGUGGAGGCUACUCUCCAUCUGGACAUUCCCCACCCACCCCCCUUUAUUGUGGAACCCCUCCUGGCCCUGCAGGGCCCUGCUCAGAUGCCCCCUCCAGGCAGACUUCCCUACUCUUGCAGGGGACACCACAGCAGCCUUUGCUCCUCUCCAUAGAUGCCUUCACACUUCCUAGUGCUGUGUGCUCAACACCGGUUUCUCUGCUCCGCUGGAGCACCGUGAAGCCCCGAGAGCUGCGUGGCAUCCCGCGUGACAGAGGAGGUGAGUGGGACACACAGGGGAGCAGUGGCCUGUCCUCGAUCCCUUAGCCACAGACAAGGCCAAGGUGGACCUCCAGGGAUCUCACAUGUGGCUCACGGGCCUCCAGUGUCUCCAAAGCUCCAAAGUUUCUCUGGUUUCUCCAUGCUUUGACCGACUCCACCGUCCACCUCCCUUCAGAUUGACUCGAAAUAGGCUCCCUUUUCAAUUUGUCCUCCCCUAAGCAGUCUUCCCACAUCCAUGGUCUCAGUCAGCCUUGGUCAACUGCACUCUGGAAGCCAGAUGAUCCUCCUUCCUUUCUUUUUUGUUAAGAGAAUGUGAGCCAGGGAGAGGGACAGAGAGGGAGGGAGAGAGAGAGAGAGAGAGAGAGAGAGAGAGAGAGAGAGAGAGAGAGAGGG